rnacentral:rRNA from 1 species
AUUGAACGCUGGCGGCAGGCCUAACACAUGCAAGUAGAACGAGUGGCGGACGGGUGAGUAAGGUCUGGGAAACUGCCUGAUGGAGGGGGAAAACCACUGGAAACGGUAGCCAAUACCGCAUACCAGCAGAUGUGCCCAGCUGGGAUUAGCUUGUGGGUGGGGUAACGGCUAACCAAGGCGACGAUCCCUAACUGGUCUGCGAGGAUGACCAGCCACGUUGGAAGUGAGACACGGUCCAUACUCCUACGGGAGGCAGCAGUGGGGAAUAUUGCACAAUGGGCGCAAGCCUGAUGCAGCCAUGCCGCGUGUAUGAAGAAGGCCUUCGGGUUUUAAAGUACUUUCAGCGGGGAGGCGUUACCCGCAGAAGAAGCACCGGCUAACUCCGUGCCAGCCGCCGCGGUAAUUC